GUGCUUAUUUCAGCACAGUAAAAUUGGAACAGUGCAGGGAAGGUUAGCACGGUCCCUGUGUAGGGUGACAUUCACGUUCAUGAAGAGUGUGAUAUUUAA
ensembl:snRNA U6 U6 spliceosomal RNA